rnacentral:rRNA from 1 species
UACGGGGGGGGCAAGCGUUGUUCGGAAUUACUGGGCGUAAAGGGCUCGUAGGCGGCCAACUAAGUCAGACGUGAAAUCCCUCGGCUUAACCGGGGAACUGCGUCUGAUACUGGAUGGCUUGAAUCCGGGAGAGGGAUGCGGAAUUCCAGGUGUAGCGGUGAAAUGCGUAGAUAUCUGGAGGAACACCGGUGGCGAAAGCGGCUCUCUGGGACGGUACUGACGCUGAGACGCGAAAGCGUGGGGAGCAAACAGG